rnacentral:rRNA from 1 species
AUGUGCAUCAAUCAUAUCUCUCCAAAUUUUCUCCCGACCCAUAACCGAACCACCGUGCUUCGGUUUUUUAUUGAUAUGCAUAGCUACGAUCAUUGCAAGAUCCUCCUCCUCUUCCAUAUCAAAUUCUUCUUCGGAAGAAUCAUACGACGAACUCAUCUACAAUGUUCAAUACUAUACUAUAAAAACUACAAUUCAAAACAUGCACCAAAAUCAAUGAAGUUUGAGCAAUACAUACCUUGUAGGCGUUUUGUCAAACACCUUGCGGGCGCGGCGUGGCAGCGAGCGCUCGGGCGCUGUUCCUCGGACGACGGAGGCGCGCGGGCUCCGGCGGUACUAGGAGGGGAUGGGCGGAAGCGCGGGCGCGCGGGGAUAGGCCGGGGAAGCCUGGGACGGUGGCCGGGGUGCGCGGACGGCGGCGGCGGCGCGGCCGGUCGGGGGUGGAAGCGCGAGAGGAAGAGCGGGCGCGAGCGCUCGAGUGUGCCGCUCGCUGUAGUGGGCGUCCGUAAUACGCCACGCGGGUAA